rnacentral:lncRNA from 1 species
AAUUUCAUUCUUUUUAAUGGCUGAGUAAUAUUCCAUCUAUACAAUCUACAUACUGCAUUUUCUUUAUCCAUUCAUCUGUCGAUGGAAACUUGAGUUGCUCCAUAUCUUGGCAAUUGUAAAUAGUGCUACUGUGAAUAUUGGGAUGCAUGUAUCUUUUCAAAUUAGUGUUUCCAUUUUUUUCUGCAUAUAUUGGAAACGGAUGUAGAGGAAUAGCUAGAUCAUAUGGGAGUUCUAUUUUUAGUUUUUUGAGGACCCUCCUUAUUGUUUUCCAUAGUGGCUGCACUAAUUUACAUUCCCACCAAUAGUGUACAAGGGUUCCCUUUUCUCCACAUCCUCUCCAGUACUGGACCAAAACUUCUUCAGAGAAGCAAAUUUAAACACUCGCCAGAGGAAAUGUACCUAUAUGUAUAGUUUAAGCAGAAUACACAACUGAAAUAAAGGGUAAGAAAUAAACUUGAAAAAAGUUUGGGAAAGUAAAAUUGUUGUUGAUUAUAUUCUCAAUAAAGCUGAAGCCAAAGAGGGUACAUCUCUUCUGCCAAAGCUUUAUGGCAUCAAUAUUCAUAACCUCCAGAAGCAUUCUACUAUAUUUUAAACAUAUAUUACAUAUGACAACUUCCUAUGAAACAUCCUUCUUCUAGCAUUCUAUUAAUGAAAUAUAUUUCCACUAAAUGUCAUCCCCUUUUUAUGAUCUACAGGCAAUAAGACAGUAAAAGCAAUUUUUCAAAAAAAAUUGUUCCAGCCAACAUUAAAGUCAUAUUUUAUAGAAUACAUUUAGCAUCCCAACAUCAAUUUCAUGUAGAGUAUUUUCUUCUGCAAUGAAUAAUACAAAAAUAGAAAUAAUUGUGUUUACUCUAAAAACAGCCAAUAUAUGUGGAAGAUUCUUUCCCCCAACUUCUAUUUCCUUUUCUUUUUCUUUUUUCUUUUUUUUUUUUUUUUUUGUUUGUUUGUUUUUUGUCUUUUUAGGGCUGCACCCAUGGCAUUUGGUGGUUCCCAGGCUAGGGGUCUAAUCGGAGUUGUAGCUGCCAGCCUACGCCACAGCCACAGCAACACGGGAUCCAAGCCNAGCCACAUCUGUGAUCUACACCACAGCUCACGGCAACGCCAGAUCCUUAACCCACUGAGCAAGGCUAGGGAUCAAACCCACAACCUCAUGGCUCCUAGUUGGAUUCAUUUCCGCUGUGCCAUGACGGGAACUCCUCUAUUUCCUUUUCUUAAUAGAGAAAGAUGUUGCACAAUUUGACCAUCAUGAUUCUAAAGACUAAAGUGAUGGAUAGAGAAGCUGCCUUAACUACCAAAUUCACCAAAAGGAAGAGAACAAAUUCAGUCACUUACGCUUCACUGCAAAGCCAAAGAGCUAAAUGAGGGAAAUGAGUUCUGUUCUCAAUAAAUACUCAAAUAAGUAAUCCUCAUUUCUCUAGAUUGCAUUUCCUCUUUACCAAUAAUAUUUGGUAUUUUCUGAUUAGUUGUUUGAUGGGUACCAGAAACAAUAGGAAGAGGCAUGGAAAAAACAAAGAAAAUAUUGCUAUUUUCCUAGUUCUUUCUACUCCACAUAAAAAACUGACAUUUAAACUCUUUUAUAAGCUAGACAUGAUAUUCUUAUAUUAAGCCGUAUCAGUCAAUGCUUCCAAAUAAAUUCAUCCCAUUAACAUAAUGAACAUCAUCUGACUGUAAAAGCAAAAAUAAACCCUCUGUUAGUUUUAGAUUUGGGCUUCUUGACCAGAAUAUGUUAUAAGCACCACUUAAAAUGGUAUGCGAGAAUCAAACUCAAAAAGGAGGUUCUCUUUUCACAAAAAAAGAUUUUCAUUUCUGUUGGCUUAAGGACACCAACCCUAUCACGGGCUUCUUGGAAAUUGUGUCAGCUCUCCUAGUAAAUCAGGAGUCACAUCUCACAAAGGCAAAAGCAGCCGAAAAAUUUAAUGCUAAUUCAAUGGCAGCCAGCCCCUUCCCCAACCCCUUUAACCAUUACAUAAGACGCUGCCAAUUUCCGCUCCUUUUGGCUGAAACUCCAGCCAAGAGUUAAGCAUUACUGGAAUUUAAUUAAAGUAAGUAGGGCAAUUUGAAUUCAACCUUAAAAAGAAUUAAUUUUCAGGUUUUAUUUUUUUAACUGAGGGUAACAAGUAACCAUGAAUAAGAAGCAAUAAUCCAGUCUUUGGGAAAUAUAUCAGCACCAGACUAUUUUGUGAUUAUCCUGUCCUAAAACCAAUGGAUCAUUCUGGAGAAAAUUAAUCCCACAACAGGCAAUGAGGCUGGCUUUAGAGGAAGAAAGGGAAAGCAAAUAUUCUUUUUUUCUCUGGGCUGGAAGUAGUCUAUUUCUUGGUAUAAACACUUUUUUGUUUUGUUGUUCUUGUUUUGUUUUUUGUCACACUGGCAGCAAACUUUGUUGUUUUGCUCGUUUGGAAGUUCCCAGGCCAAAAAUUGAACCUGCGCCACAGCAGUGACAAUGCUGGAUCCUUAACCUGCUGAGCCACCAGGGAAGUCCUUCCUUGGUAUACAUAAAAGAGACAUCUGUACCACUUCCUAGGGCUGUAGAAAUAAGCUGUUCCUAGCUGGACGGAGAAUGGAUGGAGACAAGGCAGGAGACAGCAUGGAGAGAGCCUAGGGCAAGUCAACCUUUGUUCUUUCCACUGUUCCCUUUCCAUUUGCUCUGAACCAUCAGUAAAGCCUCAUUAAAAGCUACAGCUGGAGUUUCUGCUGUGACUCAGUGGGUUAAGAACCUGACAUAGUGUCCAUGAGAAUGUAGAUGCCCGGCCUCACUCAGUGGCUUAAGGAUCCUACACUUGUAGUGUAGGUCACAGAUGCGGCUCAGAUCUGAGGUUGCUGUGGCUGUGGUGUAGGCCAGCAGCUGCAGCUCUGAUUCGACCCCUAGCCUGGGAAUUUCCAUAUGCCAAAGGUGCANAAAAAAAAAAAAAAAAAAAAAAAAAAAAAGUCAACUGACACCUGUGGCUAUGUUAGAAAAAUCUCAACAACACAUACACACAAAGAUGUUUAGUGCAACAUUGUCUACAAAAGCCAACUGGCCAAGGAUCUCUCAAAAAGGACUAGUAAAUCAGAUGUGGUACAACCAUCUUCUUGAACACUAAGCAGUCGCUUUUGUAAGCUAUAAAUGUAUAUACGAACAUGGAACAAGAUAUAUUACGUGAAAAGACAAAGUGGUUUUGUUUUUAAGUCGGCAGGUAGGUAGAUCAUAAUUUUAUAGGUAACAACUGAUAUUAGCGUCCUAAUACACACAUAACUUUUCUCUAGGAAAGAAUCUCAAGAAACUGAUAAUAGUGGUUACCUCAGAUGAUGAGGACUUUUCACCUCUCAUUUUUCUUAUUGAAACUGUUCUUUUAGGACAAAAUAAUGCCAUUUGCACCAAUAUGGAUGGUAUUACAGAUUCUCGUACUAAGUGAAGUCAGUCAGAAAGAGAAAGACAAAUACCAUAUGAGACCACUUAUAUCUGGAAUCUAAAAUAUGACACAAAUGAACCUAUCUACAGAACAGAAAGAGACUCACAGACACGGAGAGCAGACUUGUGGUUGCCAAAGGGGAGGGGGAGGGAGUGGGAUGGAUGGGGAGUUUGGGGUUUAAGGAAGAGCAGCUAUACCGCCAAGUUCAAAAAGUGUUAUUAGCAGAGCAAUCAGGGCAAAAGGAUGCCUCCAAAGCAAGGCUCGAUUAAUCAAAGGGAUUCAGGGACCCAGGCAGGCUAAUCUCCAAGAAUCACUAAUAGGAUGCUUAAACGUUCUGAGCACCAGCAAGUAAAUAUCCUUUAUCACUUUAGGCAGCUUGGCUCUGGGAGGGGAGAAGGCGAGAUAAAUGAGUUCAGU